AUUGCAAGUAUCUACUUUAUAAAUAUUUGAUUUAGAUAUCAGGUUAUAAACACUGCUGGAUAAUGUCACAAAGCUAGGAGAAAUGACUAAAAUGAUGAAAAUGAACAUUGAAUUCCUACUGUACUAUGUUUUGCUGGAUCCUCUUUUUUUCUUCAAGUCUCUUUAGUUAAUUGUGCAUGCUACAGUUUUCAUACUAGCAACAUAAUGUGUAGUCUCUAGCAAUCCUGCUACUCUAAUAUAUUUCUAAACUUGCAGUGACAACCAUGCUAAAUUAAAAGAAUUCUCAGACUCCUAACACUCAUCUCUUCCUUAAUGUUUCAGGAGGAGGAGGGACUAGAUGACCUCUGAAACCUAUGUACUACUCAGGAGAACAUUUAUAAUAACAGAUUUGUGGGCUGUGAUGUGCCCAGAUCUGUACAUUAGAAUACCAAUUUAGCAGCUGUGAGCAGAAUAGAUUGGAACGGAAAAGGGCUGAUUGAAGGAAUACCAAUUAGGAGGCAUCUGCAAAAGUUCAGCACUCACUUAAACAAACCAACCAGGAAACUUGAUUCUUUGAAUGAAGAGUAACUGAUGGGAAAUCUCAGUGAUGCACCAUUACUGAGGAAAAGUCAAGGUUAUGAUCACCAUCUUGAGGCACCAAUAUCUAAAAUGAUACAUUGACCUUAGGUGCAAAAUAUAAGAAACAUAGCUCUAAACCACCUGCAGGAUGAGUCAUCAUCAUUCCAAUAGUUUCUUUGAGGUAUGUAAUAUACUUUAUGCCAUGCUACUUGCACAUUUGUGUUUUAAGUGUAAGUUUAAAAAAUGAUUUAAAAGUUAAAACAUCAUUAACAGAGCUCAAUAAACUUACUAAGGACUUUUUAAAAAUGCAUCCUUACCAAAUUCACUGUUUCCUUAUUUAUUUUGGGAGGAAAGAUAAUACUAGGAGGAACUUCCAAAUGUUCCAUGGAGAGAAGCCAUUUUUUCAUUCAGAGUUUUACAGAAGGAUUACCUAGUAGCAAAAAAUAAUAAUAGUAAUAAUAUUAAAAGGCUCCCCCUUUGUCAUCCUGUUGACUCCCUUACCCAUCAUCAAUGAAAUAAUGGUAAAGCGAGAAAUAUCAAAUAAUUCUCUGAGGAUAGUUAACAUAUUAAAAAAUGGGAAAGUAUUAGGUCUAAAUAUAGUCUUAUACUUGGAUUUUAAAAAAUCAAUUUUAUAAGUAUAAGGUAUAGAAGACACAUUUAGAUAGUAGUUUGUCGUUUAAAAAAUCUGAGUAUUUUAGUGAAAUUCAAGAUUGAUUUAAGUCAAUAAUGUGGUGUAGUAGCAAAAAUAAAAAAAAACUAACGUGAUCUAAGGCUGCAUGCGGAAUAUAUUGCAUUCAGUUCUGGAC